ACAGCCAAGCUCCCCUAACAAAGGGAGGUUCAGCCUUUAUAUAGGCUUAUACUUUAGAUGUUUCAUGUGGAAGAAUUUUAAGUUUAUAUUUUAGGACUCACAUGUGGAAAGGUUUUAGUUUACAAUUUUAGGAAUUACAUAUGAAAGGGUUCCAGUUUACAGUUUUAGGACUUACAUGU